GUCCACGCUGUAAACGAUGGGUGCUAGGCGUCUGGGGGAGCGACCCUCCCGGUGCCGUCGCUAACGCAAUAAGCACCCCGCCUGGGGAGUACGGCCGCAAGGUUGAAACUCAAAGGAAUUGACGGGGGCCCGCACAAGCGGUGGAGCAUGUGGUUUAAUUCGAUGCAACGCGAAGAACCUUACCUGGGCUUGACAUGCACGUGAAAGCCGGUGGAAACACUGGUCCUCCUUCGGGACGCGUGCACAGGUGCUGCAUGGCUGUCGU
rnacentral:rRNA from 1 species